rnacentral:rRNA from 1 species
GAGCUUAACUUCAAAAGUGUACUAGAAACUACUAAACUAGAGAAUCGGAGGGGUAAAGGGAAUUUCCAGUGGAGCGGUGAAAUGCGUAGAGAUUGGAAGGACCACCGAAGGCGAAGGCACUUUACUGGGCUAUUUCUGACACUUAGAGACGAAAGCUAGGGGAGCAAAUGGGAUUAGAUACCCCAGUAGUCCUAGCUGUAAACGAUGGAUACUAGAUGUUGCAUAUACCGAUCCAUGCAGUAUCGUAGCUAACGCGUUAAGUAUCCCGCCUGGGAACUAUGCUCGC